CACCUGCUCCUCCGAGGAUCUGUGCUGCGAAAUACAGACAUAGCCUAUGGACUGGCUAUAUACACAGGCUCGGAUAGUAAAAUUCUGCAAAACUGUGGAAAACUGAAACUGAAGAAUACUCAAGUGGAAAUGCUACUAAACAAAACUGUGUUGGUGAUUCUGCUGUUCAUGAUAACAACAGCUCUUCUCCUGGCUGUGGGCGCUGGUCUUUUUGAGUAUAGGGUUCCCCUCAG